GCAAAGCUGCCCUCAUCCCGAGUGCAGCCCGCUGGCCCCCCGGGGGGCCGGGUGCUUGACAAUGAGCCCCGUGCUGUCAGCGUUCCUGAGGGAGCUCCCUGGCUGGCUCCUGUUCGCUGGGGUCUUCCUGCCUGUGACUUUGCUGCUCCUCCUCCUCAUCGCCUACUUCAGGACCAAACUGAUGGAGGGUAAGUGGGAAGCCACACAGGGCAGGGGCUCGAAGGCCUUUCCCAGGACUCAGCUGCACAGGCCAGCGCACGGUCCGUGUUUCCGGGGGGCCUCGGGAGACACACGGCUGUGACUUACAGGCACUUCUCACCAAGUGCUCUGUCACCACCCGUUCACUGGUGGACGGGCAGUCUGACCCUUUCCGCAGCGUGGACCCGCCGUGGGGACCCCUAACCAUAGCUUCUCACGGAGAGCCCAACUAUGAAUCAGCAAUUCCUACAUGUGACUCUCUCUCUCUCUCUCUCUCUCUCAGGGAAAAUAUAUUCUACAAAUGUUAAAAUGCAUAUCAUGGACUGCCCUCUCUACGUGACACAUAGGUGCAUAUGCCAUGAGUGUGCACACACACAGGCUUCUUGCUCACCCACUGAGCUUCUAUUAAGCAAAUGUGCCGGGGCACCUGGGUGGUUCAUCCGGUUGAGCAUCUGAUGCUUGAUUUGGGGUCAGGUCAUGAUCCCAGUGUUGUGGGAUGUCCACGUUGGGCUCCCUGAGCUGGGCACGGAGCCUACUUGGGAGUCGCUCUCCCUCUCCCUCUGUCCCUCUCCUCAGGUCGCACUCCCUAAAAUAAAAAUAAUAGGGGCGCCUGGGUGGCGCAGUCGGUUAAGCGUCCGACUUCAGCCAGGUCACGAUCUCGCGGUCCGUGAGUUCGAGCCCCACGUCGGGCUCUGGGCUGAUGGCUCAGAGCCUGGAGCCUGUUUCCGAUUCUGUGUCUCCCUCUCUCUCUGCCCCUCGCCCGUUCAUGCUCUCUCUCUGUCCCAAAAAUAAAUAAACGUUGAAAAAAAAAUUUUAAAAAUAAAAAAUAAAAUAAAAUAAAAAUAAUAAUAACAAUUAUUAUUAUUAUUGUGCUGUCACAGUGUUUGGCAAAUGUCAAGCCCUAAUAGAUAGCUGAUGGCUUGGUGUAUGCUUUUCAUGAAACUAUAGUCUCUUUUUUUAAUGUUCAUUUAUUUACUUUUUGAGAGAGAGAAGAGAGAGAGCACUUGAGGCAGAGACAGAGAGAGACAGAGAAUCCCAAGCAGGCUCUGCACCGUCAGCACAGAGUCUGAUGCAGGGCUUGAACCCACAGACAGUGAGAUCAUGACCCAAGCCGAAAUCAAGAGUCGGACCCUUAAGCGACUGAGCCACCCAGGCACUCCCAUGAGACUAUAGUCUCAAAGAGAAACAAAACAAAACGAAACAAAACAAAACAAAACUCAGGAAGCUCAAAGUGAUUUGGACAUAGACAAUUGGGUCCUAGUUUGAGACUGGUUAUUCUGCUAUAAUUAAAUUAAUGAAACUGAACUUUGACUUCAUAGACUGUUAAUAAUGUGCCCAGGAAACACUAGAUUAAUAUCACAAAGGUUAAUAGUUAUUUUAGCAAUAGCAACAAAAACCAGUAAUAUUUAAAAUGUUGGAUGGUGUCAGGGGCGUCUGGGUGGCUCAGUCGGUUGAGCGUCCGACUUCAGCUCAGGUCAUCAUCUCAUGUUUCAUGGGUUCAAAUCCCAUGUCGGGCUCUAUGCUGACAGUUCGGAGGCUGGAGCCUGCUUCGGAUUCUGUGUUUUCCCCUCUCUCUGCUCCUCCCUCUCUCUCUCUUUCUCUCUCUCACACAAAAAAUAAAAUAAAAUAAAAUAAAAUAAAAUAAAAUAAAAUAAAAUAAAAUAAAAUAAAAUAAAAAUUUUUUAAAUAAAAUAAAAUGUGAGAUGGUGUCAUAUUAAAGCACUAUUUAAAACAAAUUUGAAAAUUGUUCCUUCUCCACUGAAAUUGGCCACAUCCCAGCAAUGCCUUCAUGGAUUCCAUUCUGAAAACAGAUGUUUAGAAUCUUGAAUGAAGAAUGCCAUCACCUAGGCCUAAAAUCAAGUAGAAGUACAAUUGGGGAUAUUUCUAAGGUGAGGUUUAGAACACCAAGAAAUCCUAGAGAGCAGAGAGCUCAUUAGAAAAUCACAAGUUUCUGAUCCUAACAUACUCAAACAUACCCUCGCCUUUUAUUUUUUUGGUCUCAUUUUUAUGACCAGCUCUCUUGUUGAAUGACCCAGCUGUAUGCUGUCUUGCCCUCCAGCAUUCGUGUGGAGAUCCUCAUGAAUCCUCUUCUUUAUUAAGUUAGUUUAUCCUCCACUGCCUCAAGACCAGUCUAGUGGAUGUUCUGCCACUUAGCCAUUCAUUAACAGUGGACCCUGGAAAAGAGCCUCUGAAAAAGGAAGAGAAAAUUAGAACCCCCCAGGAUCCUAACUACAGGAGUUUUAGUCUUCCAAACUGGUCUAAUGUACAGCCACUGCAAACACGUCCAUUUUGAAAGUCUUUUAAAGGUGUUGGAUUGGCCGCCUGUCACGCACAUGCAUGCCACAGGCUCCCGGUGACACUGAGCACCCUAUGGAGAAGUAACAGGAUGCUGAUGUCACAGCCGGAGACUUGAAUCGUUUAUGUCAUUCUCAAGUUUCAUCUCUGCCUGCCUUUUCAGGUAGAUAAAAUGUUUAGUAUCUCUAAAGUGUAUCAAGCAUUAAAUGACGCUAACAACACACCCAAAUAGGCUCAUGGAUUCUCAAGUCUCUUUCUGGCCUCUACUUAUCGGUUAUUUUAGGUCAGAUCGUUCAGCAGGACACCUGGUGUUUGGGAUGGAUUCUUCAACAAAGGAUGAAUCUUGGUUUUAUAGCUUUAUUUAUCCCUGGGUGACAUUUGGGGGAAAAUAUCUAUAAUCUGCAAAAAUUAAAAUUAAAUGGGUCUACAGUAUUUUGCCUAGAUAUUUAGAUAAUGUAGAGAAUUAUGAGGUAUAGACAUAUCAAUCUCAUUCCUUCAGAAGGCCCUGGAAAAGGCAGCCUGCCCUUGAAAGUGUGGCCUGGCAUCACAGGGGGCUGAGGCAGGAAAAAAUGUCGGCAACGUCCUACACGCAUGCCCGGCCCCAAGGACAUGUUCAACGUGUGGGCUACGAUCAUUGCACAAUGACACCCUUCCUUCUUUGACACCUCCCUGUCCAUGUAAGUUAUCUAGAGAUCAAAGCCUCUGAUUUUUGCAACACGGCAAGGAAACCAAAGGAAAGCAAGAAGGUUUAAACCAAAGGAAAAGCAAGAAGGUUAGCCCUACACAAUGAAGGCCAACGCCCCCUGGGUAGAGGUCUUUCACCAACUUUUACGUGCACUCCAAACUUGCCCCAUACUUCUGGGUAGGAAGAAUUCUCAUUCAUUCAUUCAGCACAUAUUUGAGAAUCUACCAUAUACCAGGGAUUGUCCUAGCUACUGACACAGAUUUUUACUCUGAGAUUUUAGAACUAAGAGAACAAUCCCAGGUCUAGAAAACCACAAAAAUCAUCCCACAAAAUUGGUAGAAGUUGAAGGAGAGACAUUGCAAAUCUCCAUUUUUCUGGCUCUGGCCUCAUUAGAUGUCUGGCCAAUGGCCUUAAGAAUGACCUGCCCUUCUCCCUAAAUCUUACCCCAAAGUUAGAGCAGAGCAUUCCCACCAGAAGCAGAACCCUCUGAACAGCUCAGGGGCACCCACAGCGAUGUAAUGAGUCUCAUUUUCAGUGGUUCUUCUCCAUUGUCCCCUUUUGUUGGCUCUCACUGAAGUGUACCUUGGAGCUUCCAGGCUACUGGUGAGGAGCCCAGGAAGGGUGAGUGAAGAUGUGGAAGGAGCCAGCAAAACUCUCUGCAUCAAUCACUUAAUGAAGUAGGGGUCCCAUUUGAGGCUUAUUGUUGGAAAGAAUACUAAGGACUGUUAGCACUCUGACACCGGUGGCCUUCCAAGGAACCAUCUGCAGGACACCAAGGGAGGAUUGUCCGGCUGAUGGGGCCAAAGAAGGCUCCCUAUUGUCAGUUUUCAUUCAGUUGAGACUGGGUCCCAAGUGCAGUGGGGUGAGGAGAGUGGGGGCCUUGGGCACCAUCCCUUAUAGUUACCUGGCCAGGGGUACCUAUCCAGGGGUACCUGGCCAGGAGGGCAGCUGAGGGGCAGCCUGCACCACAUCACUGUCUAGAGAAUUUUCUAUUCAAACCAUAACUUGCUUAUCUUUCCCUCUUCUCCCAAACGGGAACUGUGCAUCCUUUUUUGGAAUAAUUCCUGAUUAUGUUGUCCAGUGUAAGCAUAUUUUCAUUUUUAUGCAGAUCUCUUCCCCUAAUCUUCCAAAAUUUCCUUAAAAAAAAAAAAAACUUCAAGAACAUGUAGCCUUUUAAAAAUGGAGCUGUUUUCCUAAGUGUAAGUAGUAAUAUCUCUUCUAUAGUUUGAGGGCAAUUGAGCUCACUUGGCCCCAAAUAAAAUAUCACCAGUUUAUAUCUCUAUUUAGCAGUUCCCACUUAAAAACUGUAACCAGAUGGUCAAAUGUCAUGUCAUUAAUCUUCCAUCCGGGGUUAUGGCAAGUGUAAUCAUUCCUAUUUUGUUCCUGUAAAGAAAGAGACAUUGACAGAUUAACUAGUGUGUUCACAGAACCCCAGAGUCCUGCAUUCUGAAACAGAAAAUCAGCUUGCCUGCCCCAUACAUCCUAGUCCAUCAGACAAGAGAGACAUUUUAAGAUGUGAUAGAAAGCUUGUGCAGGUACUGUAAUCACUCAACAUUAAUCCCUACACUUGAAGCCUUAGGAAGUAAUGGCACAUGUAAAUUUAAUUAGUAUGUAGAGCACAUCAAUUUUCUCACAAAGGAAGAAAGAAAAUUCUCUAGCAUCCUGCACUCUUCAAUCUCUGUCAGUUGCCUUGAGGAGCAGCUCUUGAGGUGGAGGUCUGAAUCUUGAACUUGCCAUCUGCCAAACCCUUCAUCAGCCAUUACUACGAACAUUUCAUUCCUUCUAGAGUAGAAGUUUUGAUUAUCUUAUCUCCCCAAGUCCCGAGAUUCCUAAACCUCUACUUUCAGUGCUGUUAUUUCCCCUCAAAAUACCAUCACUCUGAUCAAGAUCAAAAUGCUCUCUAAGUAGCCAACAUUGCCAAAAAUAAUCAUUAUUUUUUAAAAAAGUGUCUAUUGAAUGCCCAAAAGUUUUCAUAUGGAGUUAGAUCCAAAAUAAGGUCGGGUAAGUGAUCACAUUCUGGCCUUCAGCAACUUACAUUCUGAGACAACUCAAGUAUUGAAAAUGUGCAGGUGGCUAGACCUCGUUCACUGAACUUCAUAUGUAUGUUUUAAUAGUCAGCAAUCAAAAGGGAAAAAGAUUAAGUAUUUGGAAAAAUCAGAAUAAUUUAAGCGUUAGUAGGGUAAAAUUGUUAAGAGCUCGGACUAUGGGGUCAAACCAAAUGGGGUUCAAAUUCCAGAUCUGUAACAAUGGCCACCCAAUCUUCUGAAGCUUCAGUUUUUCAUCUGUAAAAUAGAAUAAUAGCAGGAGGGGUGGCUGGGUGGCUCAGUCAAUUGAGGGUCUGACUCUUAAUUUCGGCUCAGGUCAUGAUCCCAGAAUUGUGGGACUGAGCCCCACAUCAGACUCCAUGCUGACUGUGGAACCUGCUUAAGAUUCUCACUCUCUCUCUCUCUCUCUCUCUCUUUCUCUCUCUCUCUCUCCCUCUGCCCCUCUCACCCACCCUGGCAUUCUCUCUCUCUCUCAAAAAAUGAAAUAAAUAAGUAGAAUAAUAGCAGGAAGGAGCUAUAAGAUUGAUGUGGGGAUUAAGUGAGGUCAUACGUACAAGUCUCUUAACAAUGCCUGUUCUCAAAACUGUUAGUCAUUAUUACCCCUGCUAGCUUAUAAAUUCCAAGAAGCAGUGUUCAUGUCAUUAUGAUAGCUAUUAUUAAGAUUACCUUAUAAUAAUUAAGUAAAUAGCCCAAAUCACUCACCUAGAAAGUGGUAGAGACAGGAAUUGAACGCUGGCUGGCCAACUCCAGCGCUAGCCUUCUCAGCCAACACACAAUUCCUGGAGUGUUGAACACAGAUGACAUGUUCAAUAGAUAUCUGUUGAAUGGAUGAAACCUUUUGGACCAGCCAAAUAAACUUACUACCAAUAUGGAGAGCAACUGUGGGAGAAUUUUAAACGUGGCAAGAAUUUUAUAAAAGCUUUGAGAGGAUUUGAUCUCUUUAUAUAACAGGAGUGAUUCUUUUUUUUUUUUUAAUGUUUAUUUAUUUUUGAGAGAGAGAGAGAGAGGCAGACUGCAAGCAGGGGAGGGGCAGAGAGAGAGGGAGACAGAAUCUGAAGCAGGCUCCAGGCUCUGAGCUGUCAGCACAGAGCCCCAACUGGGUCUCAACCCACAAGCUGUGAGAUCAGGCCCUGAGCCGAAAUCAGAUGCUCCCCCAGGAAUAAUUUUUUAUGAUGGUGAUUCCUUAGCAUAAAGACUUAACGCUGAGGCAGGGAGGUUGCAUUUCUUCACCUGUGGCCCAAUAGGGAAAACUUCCGUUGCCUGCAGAAUUUCCGCAAUUAACAAAACACCCGCCUGCCAAUCUCACCUAUCUAGCAUCUCUCUGCACUUUCCUUAACAGACCAAUUAAGUACAACAAUGACCAGGUUGCAAGCUCUUUUAGAAGCGUAAAUCAUUGCUCUUGCUCUCUGGGUUGUGCCUUGCACCACACACUAUGUACUGGAGAGAUAACUCCUUGCGGAUUGAUGAGUUUCCUCUUGGUCUCUCUAUUCUAGUUCUCCACUCCGGCAGGUACUCAGGUCACGCAUUUUCAGUUCUACAAUUUGUAUCCGGGCUCCUCAUUCAAAGCACUUGUGCACAGUCUUCUAUAAUUAGAAAUAAGAAGGAAGGGGCGUCUGACUCUUGAUUUGGACUCAGGUUAUGAUCUCACAGUUCACGAGAUCGAGCCCUGAAUCGGGCUCUGCACUCUGCACGCAGGGCCUGAUUGGGAUUCUCUCUCUCUCUCUCUCUCUCUCUCUCUCUGUCUCUCUCAGUCUUCCCUCCCCGACCUCGAGGUAAAUAAACAAACAUUAAAAAAUAAUAAUAGUAAAAUAAAAAGGAAGAGAGGUACACGGGUGGCUCAGUCAGUUGAGCAUCUGACUCUUGAUUUUGGCUCAAGUCAUGAUCCCAGGGUCAUGGGAUCGAACCCCGCGUCAGCCUCUACACUGAGUGUGGAGCAUACUUGGGAUUCUCUCUCUCUCUCUACCUCUACCCCUCACUCGUGCAUCCUCUCUAAAAUGAAAUUAAAUUAAAAAUAAAAUUAAAUAAAGUAAAAAGGAAGAAAUUACUGACAUUCCAGUGAGUUUAUUAUCUAAACCAUGGGCCAUCUCAAGCAACAUCUUAGAACAAGCAAUAAUCUAGUGGAGAGGCCGUGUAACCAAGUAGUUGAGAAUGUGGGCUCUGGAAUCAGACUUCCUGGGAUGGAAUCCUGAGUCUAUUCUUUUCUGGCAUCUUAAGCAAGUGGCUUCCUCUUGAUGUCUCCCUGCCUCAGUUUGCUCAUCUGUAAAGUCAGACUCCCAAGGGUGACUACAAUAUAAUGCCAUCAAGAGUUAAACAUGAUAAGACACGCAAAGGGCUUCACACACUGACACAUAACAAGUACUCAGCAAAUAGUAGCUAUUAAAUAUUGAGGCUCAUGCAGCCUGUCUCUGCCUGGUGUACAUGUAAUGCCCCUCGACUAUGACAACAAGCAGUCGCGGAGACCUAGAAGAACCUGGCUCAGGGAGAGUGCCUGUGUCCUGGGCUACAGGGCGUACAAAGUGCCCAGCGAGGGCUAAAUUGCGUGGAUUGGCUAUGGGAGCCAAAGGGAACAUUUCCAGGCUCAAGUCUAUAAACAUGCACUCUCUCCCAUAAGAUUACAAGCCCCUGGUCUCUGGCUUUGGAUGAUCUGACUUAUUAUAAUUGUGAAAAUAAAACUUUUAAGAGCAAAAGCAGGCUCAGUUGUGGUGGUCAGGAAAAGAGAUAUAUUUUUUUAAUGUACCAGGAAGGUCCCAAGUGACACUUAUUGGGAUCUCAAGAGAAAUCUCAGAGCUACAGAUCCAAUUUGUUAUUGCCAGAGAGGUAAUAGUUGAAGCUACGGGAGCAGAGAAGAGGACACAGAAGAGAUGGCACAUGAUAAAAACCAAAGGGAGGAAAAUAACUGGAGCACGGGAGGGCUUGUGUCAAAUGCUACAGAGAAGGAAGCUGGGGAUUGAAAAAUGCCACUAGAUCUAGUAAUUAGGAUAUUAGUGCUGAGUUGUGUGUGUGUGUGUGUGUGUGUGUGUGUGUUUAAAUUUUUUUCUUAUUUUUGAGAGAGAGAGAGAGAGGGAAACACAGGAUCUGAAGCAGGCUCCAGGCUCUGGGCUGUCAGCACAGAGCCUGAUGCGGGGCUCGAACCCACGAACCGUGAGGUCCUGACCUGAGCUGAAGUCAGACACUUAACGGACUGAGCCACCCAGGUGCCCCUCAUGGAUGACUUUUCAUAGUUCAGUAGAGUAGCUUUAACGGAAGUUGUAUUUUAAGGGGUUAAGGGGUAUGCGGGUGGUAAAAGUUGAAACUGUCAGUUCUCACUAAAGGAUGCCAAAAGGUAAAGGAGAGAAGACUAAUCUGACAUAUCUAAAGAUUAUAAAUGUGCAAACACAUUAUUUUGGGGGUGGGAGGAGGAGCAGGGAUAGAAACUCUUAUCUUACUCAUUUCCACAUCCCCAGCCCCUGGCCUACAGACAUGCUGAAUAAAUGCCUAUUGAAUGAGGGAGUCGUAAGAAAUUUAAUCAACACUUAAUCUGCUAAAUAUUAACAAUACUUAGCAUGUAAUGAUUAUUACAGUGGUCAUUUGUCCACCACAACCGGGACCAUUUUUGCAAAAUAAACAUCUACAUUUCUUCCGGAAGUGGUUGGGAAGGUAAGGGGAGUUCCUGCAGCAGGCCUUGCUGUGGGGGCCCGGCCUUGGGGACCUGGCAGAAAUGCUGGCCAACAACCACUUAUGAGUUGUACGUGCCCAAUGGCAGGCACUGGGGCUGUCUCCAAAGUACUAACUGAUAGUUUUCCUUCCAGUGAAUGAAGAAUUGUCCCAGACCACCAGUCAUCACCAAUACAAACGCAGGGCUGGCUCUUCCCAGUACCAGAGAACGAAACGAAGGUGACUUGGGGACCGGUCAAUGGCUAAAACACAGUGAAUUUCUACUGGUCAGCGGCUUAGCUAAUAAAGUAAGUUAAUAAACUCGAACAACAGCAAAAAUAGAAAGAAUACCAAGAGGCUUGUUCUUAACCACAUUGAAAAGUGGCAGCUAUUAUCCGGGGGGACAUCCACGAGACUCAGUCAAUAGCAGGUCAUCAGAGAGUACAAAGAAUAUGAUUUGCUUGGAUGUCGACUGGACACUGCAAUUUUUUACCUUUUAUAGGUAAAAUGUGCCCACUCUGAUGGGCACUCUUUUUCAUUUUUUAAAAUGUUUUUAUUUAUUUCUGAGACAGAGAGACAGAACACGAGUGUGGGAGGGGCAGAGAGAGAAGGAGACACGGAAUCUGAAGCAGGUUCCAGGAUCUGAACUAUCAGCACAGAGCCCGACACGGGGCCCGAAUCCACAAACUGUGAGAUCAUGACCUGAGCUGAAGUCAGGCGCUUAACCAACUGAACCACCCAGGCACCCGUGAUGGGCACUAGUUUUUGUUUUUUUUUUUUUUUUUAAAUUUUUUUUUUCAACGUUU
rnacentral:lncRNA from 1 species